CCUCCCGUUCUUGGCACGGUUACCCUGUCUGUGGCGUGUGUGUAUAAUACGGAGGGAUAGUGACAUCAGUGCCAUGUCUUCGGUGGCAUUCACUGAGACACCA
ensembl:snoRNA